rnacentral:tRNA from 1 species
CGGGGUGUGGCUCAGUUUGGUAGAGCGCUGCCUUCGGGAGGCAGAGGUCGUCGGUUCAAAUCCGGCCACCCCGACCA